AUUUCUGUCUGACUUCGUUGAGCCUGGAUGGCAAAUCUCUUGCACCUCAGAUUCCUUCCCAGAGUUCCUCUGUCUCUGGAAGUCCCACUUAUGCUCUCCUGCUUGGCUAUUGGUUGUUCAGCUCUUUUAUUAAACCAAUCGGAAGGUUCCUUGGGCAGGUGAAGAAGGACAGAGAUGAAUCUUCACACGGCGUAUAAAAAGAUUAUCCCAAUGAAGUAUCAGUGCUGGUGGCCUUCAGCUACAAGGCAUUUACCUGCUGAAAUAAAAAAGCAACGAAGACGGAGGAUAUGUGUUUUCUGGCCCUCUCCUCUGACUUCUUGGUCUUGGUGAGAUGUUUCUCACAGCCAUAGAAAGCCGACUGCCACAUGUGGCCCCCUUGAAAGAUGGAGGUCAUGUGGCCUGAUGCGCUUUCUAGAACUUAGUGCCCCUGAAAUCCACAACUUUGUGAGCGCGGAUGUGACGCAAUGAGUGGAAAAUUCCACACCAGGAAAAGCUGCUUCGCGCACA